GAUGAAGAACGUAGCGAAAUGCGAUAAGUAGUGUGAAUUGCAGAAUUCAGUGAAUCAUCGAAUCUUUGAACGCACAUUGCGCCCCUUGGUAUUCCAUGGGGCAUGCCUGUUUGAGCGUCAUUUGUACCUUCAAGCUUUGCUUGGUGUUGGGUGUUUGUCUCGCCUCCGCGUGUAGACUCGCCUCAAAACAAUUGGCAGCCGGCGUAUUGAUUUCGGAGCGCAGUACAUCUCGCGCUUUGCACUCACAACGACGACGUCCAAAAGUACAUUUUUACACUCUUGACCUCGGAUCAGGUAGGGAUACCCGCUGAACUUAAGCAUAUCAAUAAGCGGAGGA
rnacentral:misc_RNA from 1 species